rnacentral:RNase_P_RNA from 2 species
AUAGCCGCGUAUAGCAAGGCCGAAAGGCAGCGUACGAGGAAAGUCCGGGCCCUAUAGAGCAAUGAUGCUGGAUAACGUCCAGUGAGGGCGACCUUAAGGAAAGUGCAACAGAAAAUAACCGCCAGGCUUUUGGCUUGGUAAGGGUGAAAAGGUGAGGUAAGAGCUUACCACUAGUAUGGUGACAUAUUAGGUUUGUGUAAACCCCAUCAAGGGCAACACCGAGUAAAGAAGGUUAAUGGCUGCUCGUCAGUCUUCUUGUAUUGGUGGCAUGAUGCAUAUAGCAAUAUAUGUACUAGAUAGAUGGCUAUUUAAGACAGAACCCGGCUUAUAGAUUUACUU